UACGGAAGGCAGCAGUGGGGAAUAUUGCACAAUGGGCGCAAGCCUGAUGCAGCCAUGCCGCGUGUAUGAAGAAGGCCUUCGGGUUGUAAAGUACUUUCAGCGGGGAGGAAGGCGGUGAAGUUAAUAGCUUCACCGAUUGACGUUACCCGCAGAAGAAGCACCGGCUAACUCCGUGCCAGCAGCCGCGGUAAUACGGAGGGUGCAAGCGUUAAUCGGAAUUACUGGGCGUAAAGCGCACGCAGGCGGUCUGUCAAGUCGGAUGUGAAAUCCCCGGGCUUAACCUGGGAACUGCAUUCGAAACUGGCAGGCUAGAGUCUUGUAGAGGGGGUAGAAUUCCAGGUGUAGCGGUGAAAUGCGUAGAGAUCUGGAGGAAUACCGGUGGCGAAGGCGGCCCCUGGGACAAAGACUGACGCUCAGGGUGCGAAAGCGUGGGGAGCGAAACAGGGAUUAGGAUACC
rnacentral:rRNA from 1 species